rnacentral:rRNA from 1 species
GUGAACGCUGGCGGUAGGCCUAACGCAUGCAAGUCGAACGGCAGCACCGUAAGAGCUUGCUCUUACGGGUGGCGAGUGGCGGACGGGUGAGGAAUACAUCGGAAUCUACUUUUUCGUGGGGGAUAACGUAGGGAAACUUACGCUAAUACCGCAUACGACCUACGGGUGAAAGCAGGGGAUCUUCGGACCUUGCGCGAUUGAAUGAGCCGAUGUCGGAUUAGCUAGUUGGCGGGGUAAAGGCCCACCAAGGCGACGAUCCGUAGCUGGUCUGAGAGGAUGAUCAGCCACACUGGAACUGAGACACGGUCCAGACUCCUACGGGAGGCAGCAGUGGGGAAUAUUGGACAAUGGGCGCAAGCCUGAUCCAGCCAUACCGCGUGGGUGAAGAAGGCCUUCGGGUUGUAAAGCCCUUCUGUUGGGAAAGAAAAGCAGCAGGUUAAUACCCCGCUGUUCUGACGGUACCCAAAGAAUAAGCACCGGCUAACUUCGUG